AGUGAACGCUGGCGGUAGGCCUAACACAUGCAAGUCGAACGGCAGCACAGUAAGAGCUUGCUCUUACGGGUGGCGAGUGGCGGACGGGUGAGGAAUACAUCGGAAUCUACUUUUUCGUGGGGGAUAACGUAGGGAAACUUACGCUAAUACCGCAUACGACCUACGGGUGAAAGCAGGGGAUCUUCGGACCUUGCGCGAUUGAAUGAGCCGAUGUCGGAUUAGCUAGUUGGCGGGGUAAAGGCCCACCAAGGCGACGAUCCGUAGCUGGUCUGAGAGGAUGAUCAGCCACACUGGAACUGAGACACGGUCCAGACUCCUACGGGAGGCAGCAGUGGGGAAUAUUGGACAAUGGGCGAAAGCCUGAUCCAGCCAUACCGCGUGGGUGAAGAAGGCCUUCGGGUUGUAAAGCCAUUUUGUUGGGAAAGAAAAGCAGCAGGUUAAUACCCCGCUGUUCUGACGGUACCCAAAGAAUAAGCACCGGCUAACUUCGUG
rnacentral:rRNA from 1 species